rnacentral:lncRNA from 1 species
UCUACCAGGCCCGCGUUUUUAGUGUUACGAGGAAUCUACCAGGUCUGCGUUUUUAGAAUUACAACGAAUUUACAAGGAAUAUUUACGACGAAUUUACAAGGAAAAUUUUACGACGACUUUACAAGGAAAGCUUUACAAUGAAAUUACAAGGAAAACAUUACAACGAAUUUACAAGGACACAUGUAUUACGAGGAAUCUACCAG